GGCAGUUGUAAAACACCAUGUCUUUAAACAUAAAAUUAUCUUCACAUUUAUUUAUUUAUUCAAAAGUACAGUUCGAGUUCUUCAAACGUAUUUUCGUACAAUAUUACGAUCAUCCUUCAGAAUUGCUGCAAAUUUCCAAGUACAUAAAUCGCAUACGCAUAAACCAACUGAUAAAGAUUAAGAGUGCAGAGUGAAGGAUAAAGGCAGAGUGACUCGAGUCACUGCAUUUGCAUCCUCUUGCCGUGCAUCUUAAUCCUUGGCCGCUCGAUGAUUGCGGCUGUGCAUAAAAAGGCAACACCAAGCCACAAUUGCUUUUCGCCAAUAAAAUUUAACAAAACAAAAAAAACGAAAACGUGCAAUAUAAUUAAUGUAAAUUACCAGCGAUUAACCCCAAACUCAAUGCCAAUGCGGCUGACAGCAGCCCCCGCCGCUAACAACGAGCUAAAGCCACAAUUUGUACAAAUAUAUUGGCUACGUGCACUCUAUAAGUUAUCGCCCAGGCAAAUCCCAAACAGCAUACAAAUGAUGCAAAAGUACAGUGGACAAUAACAACAGCAACAACAACAACAACAACAAUAAGGAACUCACAACAAAUAAACAUUUGUCAUGUUGCAUUGAUGCCAAAAAUGGCAUCGAGGCCAUUUUAUGGACCGAACUUCGACUCGAGAGAUAAAGCCAGGGCGUGCGAAUGCUGUCAUAUAUUUAUACCCUCAAGCCAUUGAAAUGGGAAUGAUGGUUUUGUGCAAAGCAAAGUGGUUAGCCCCAAACCCAAACCCAGUACUCGGAACUCGACCGAAUCCAGCCAAAUCGCAUAAUCGCCGGUCCAGGCAACAGGCCCGUCGGGCUGAGCCUGAGUUUGAAUUGGAGAAGAGCGCGUGUCGUGACUUUUUUUCAGCACGAACAAUAAAUCACAUACAGCCACUAUAAAAAUUGUUGACAUAUUUACUUCA